GUGAGAUCUCGAAGCGGUACUGACGUGCAAAUCGUUCGUCAAACUUGAGUGAAGGGGCGAAAGACUAAUCGAACCAUCUAGUAGCUGGUUCCCUCUGAAGUUUCUCUCAGGAUAGCUGGAACAAAAACGCAGUUUUAUUAGGUAAAGCGAAUGAUUAGAGGAAUCGGAGUUCAAAGAAUUUUGACCUAUUCUCAAACUUUAAAUUGGUAAGAACCGG
rnacentral:rRNA from 1 species